rnacentral:rRNA from 1 species
UACAGAGGUCUCAAGCGUUGUUCGGAUUCAUUGGGGCGUAAAGGGUGCGUAGGCGGCGGAGUAAGUUGGGUGUGAAAUCCCGGGGCUUAACCUCGGAAUUGCAUUCAAUACUGCUUCGCUCGAGUACUGGAGAGGAGGCUGGAAUUUACGGUGUAGCAGUGAAAUGCGUAGAUAUCGUAAGGAAGGCCGGUGGCGAAAGCGAGCCUCUGGACAGUUACUGACGCUGAUGCACGAAGGCCAGGGGAGCAAACGGG